CCUACGGGCGGCUGCAGUGGGGAAUAUUGCACAAUGGGCGCAAGCCUGAUGCAGCCAUGCCGCGUGUGUGAAGAAGGCCUUCGGGUUGUAAAGCACUUUCAGCGGGGAGGAAGGCGGUGAGGUUAAUAACCUCAUCGAUUGACGUUACCCGCAGAAGAAGCACCGGCUAACUCCGUGCCAGCAGCCGCGGUAAUACGGAGGAUGCAAGCGUUAAUCGGAAUUACUGGGCGUAAAGCGCACGCAGGCGGUCUGUCAAGUCGGAUGUGAAAUCCCCGGGCUCAACCUGGGAACUGCAUUCGAAACUGGCAGGCUAGAGUCUUGUAGAGGGGGGUAGAAUUCCAGGUGUAGCGGUUAAAUGCGUAGAGAUCUGGAGGAAUACCGGUGGCGAAGGCGGCCCCCUGGACAAAGACUGACGCUCAGGUGCGAAAGCGUGGGGAGCAAACAGGAUUAGAUACCCUGGUAGUC
rnacentral:rRNA from 1 species